GUGCUCGCUUCGGCAGCACAUAUACUAAAAUUGGAACGAUACAGAGAAGAUAAGCCCCUGUGCAAGGAUGACAUGCAGAUUCGUGAAGCAUUCCAUAUUUUU
ensembl:snRNA Gm25126 predicted gene, 25126